CCUACGGGGGGCUGCAGUGGGGAAUAUUGGACAAUGGGGGGAACCCUGAUCCAGCCAUGCCGCGUGUGUGAAGAAGGCCCUCGGGUUGUAAAGCACUUUCAGUGAGGAAGAACGCCUGGUGGUUAAUACCCAUCAGGAAAGACAUCACUCACAGAAGAAGCACCGGCUAACUCCGUGCCAGCAGCCGCGGGAAUACGGAGGGUGCGAGCGUUAAUCGGAAUUACUGGGCGUAAAGCGCGCGUAGGUGGCUUGAUAAGCCGGUUGUGAAAGCCCCGGGCUCAACCUGGGAACGGCAUCCGGAACUGUCAAGCUAGAGUGCAGGAGAGGAAGGUAGAAUUCCCGGUGUAGCGGUGAAAUGCGUAGAGAUCGGGAGGAAUACCAGUGGCGAAGGCGGCCUUCUGGACUGACACUGACACUGAGGUGCGAAAGCGUGGGUAGCAAACAGGAUUAGAUACCCCGGUAGUC
rnacentral:rRNA from 1 species